UACAGAGGUCUCAAGCGUUGUUCGGAUUCAUUGGGCGUAAAGGGUGCGUAGGCGGCGCGGUAAGUCGGAUGUGAAAUCUCGGAGCUUAACUUCGAAACUGCAUUCGAUACUGCCGUGCUUGAGGACUGGAGAGGAGACUGGAAUUUACGGUGUAGCGGUGAAAUGCGUAGAUAUCGUAAGGAAGACCAGUGGCGAAGGCGGGUCUCUGGACCAACACUGACACUGAUGAGCGAAAGCCAGGGGAGCAAACGGG
rnacentral:rRNA from 1 species